rnacentral:lncRNA from 1 species
AACAUAUGGGCACGAUCUGCGCCGCGGAGGGACCCGGCUUGCGACGCUUGCUGCCCGCUGCCCGCUGCCCGCGGCUGCGCCCCCGACCGAGCCUGCAGGCGCACAGGUGCCCAGCGUCCGUCCGAGCACGGGGCCGACCCUUGAAGUCGCCGGCCGGCCUCACCGGGGACACAGGGCUUCUCCUCUGCAGACCACAGCUGGCACCCGGCCCCUGUACUCCACCACAGACCCAGCGGCACCCUUGGGAGAACCUAGCGCACUCGACAACUACACCUCCUGUGUAUCGUGAAAUCCCCCUGGGGGAAACAUCGGUACUCAGACGCCCACAGUACUCGUCCUGGAACACGGGUGCCUGCCCCUCCUCUUCCUUCUUCACCGGGAGCUUCGAGCAAGGCCCUGGGAACAGAAGAGGUGUGCAACUGUCCAAGAGGCAUGCAACCAUCCAAGAGGCGUGCAACCAUCCAAGAGGUGUGCAACCAUCCAAGAGGCGUGCAACCAUCCAAGAGGCAUGCAAUCGUCCAAGAGGCGUGCAAUCAUCCAAGAGGUGUGCAAUCAUCCAAGAGGCGUGCAACCAUCCAAGAGGCGUGCAACCGUCCAAGAGGCGUGCAACCAUCCUGUCUGACAAGAACGCUGUGCAGGUGAAAGGCCAAGACAUCACUAGUGCCACAUCCUGA